rnacentral:ncRNA from 1 species
GACUAUCAGCUUGGGGGUAUGGGCAUCCACCCGACCCCACGGGCCAGCUAACCGCAGGAGGGGAUUAAUACUAAGGAUAGGAUAUCUCGCAGCAAAUGCUUCCUAUUGGCUGAAAGGAUGCGGGGCAAUAACUGGGUAAAAAGUAAGACGAGGACCAAGAAUAAUGGGACCCCAAAAAUGGGGGGAGGGAUAGAUGGCGAGGCUAAGGCUAGCCCCGCAAUGAUGAAAAGCUGGCCUCCUGCCGGUGCACUCUGCUCGCACGAGACUUGUCCAAGUUCUCUCUACCAGUGGAAGACUUGUCUCGAGGAUUGUGCGGCUCCCGCCAGUCAUGGUGGUGGAGAGGAGUCCCAGGCCCUGAGCGGAAAAAAAAUAGCCAAAUGCCUCGUCAUCUAAGUAGUGACGCGCAUGAAUGGAUUAACGAGAUUCCCACUGUCCCUAGCUACU